CAGGUAAUUCUGAUCUUAUUAUCUAUCGUUUCACCAUCCUCUCCCAUGGUGGGAAAGAAACCUAAAAUCCCAAAGAAUUUCCUAGAAAAUUAGUCAACUGUAGGUCGCAUUUUGUUCCAGCGACCUAGUCUUAAAAUUCCUGUACAGAACUCAGAGCUCGACGUCCACCUCCCUCUAAACCGCUAUUUACCGGCGAAACGACCAUCCCAAAACCCCAAAUUUUCAAUUUCUUAACAAAUCAACUAACUACCGCAGCGUAGUGGAGGUGUAAAUCAAGAUUUUUUGGUUGAAAGUUCGUGAAAUUGAAGUUUUGGAAACUGUCAAAUUUGGAAAUUCUUUUCAAAAGAGGACCGCAGUACGGGACAAAUGAUUUGGCACAUGGCGUGAAUUAGAAGGCCUUUACUACCUUAACUCACUCAAUCCCUCCACAACAUGUCUAGUUACAGAUUCUCUAGACCUAAUUCACAGACGUUUAGGACAUCCGAGUUUAUCCAAGCUUCACAAGAUGAUGCCUAGUUUGUCUAGUUUGUCUCCAUUAGAUUGUGAGUCGUGUCAGCUUGGGAAACAUACCCUAGCUUCCUUUCCGCGUAGUGUUGAGAGUCAUGCAGAGUCUGUUUUCUCUUUAGUUCAUUAUGAUAUAUGGGUCCUAGAAGAGUUGGUUCAACCUUGGGAUUUCGCUAUUUUGUUAGUUUCAUUGAUGAUUAUUCAAGAUGUACUUGACUUUUCUUAAUGAAAGAUCGUUCUGAGUAGUUUUCUA